rnacentral:rRNA from 1 species
CCUACGGGGAGCUGCAGUAGGGAAUAUUGCUCAAUGGGGGAAACCCUGAAGCAGCAACGCCGCGUGGGGGAGGAAGGUUCUGGGAAUGGUAAAUCCCUUUUGUAGAGAAGCUAAUGACGGGAUCUAACGCAUAAGCAGCGGCUAACUCCGGGCCAGCAGCCGCGGCAAGACGGAGGGUGCAAGCGUUACUCGGAAUCAAUGGGCGUAAAGAGCGGGUAGGCGGGAUAGUAAGUCAGAUGUGAAAACCUGUGGCUUAACCAUAGAACUGCAGUUGAAACUGUUAGUCUAGAGUAGGGGAGAGGUAGGUGGAAUGCUUGGGGUAGGGGUAAAAUCCGUAGAGAUCGAGAGGAAUACUCAUUGCGAAGGCGGCCUGCUGGAACCUAACUGACGCUGAUGCGCGAAAGCGUGGGGAGCGAACAGGAUUAGAUACCCUAGUAGUC